UACAGAGGGUGCGAGCGUUAAUCGGAAUUACUGGGCGUAAGGCGCACGUAGGUGGCGACGUAAGUCGGGUGUGAAAGCCCCGGGCUCAACCUGGGAAUUGCAUUCGAGACUGCAUUGCUGGAGUACGGAAGAGGAAGGCGGAAUUCCCGGUGUAGCGGUGAAAUGCGUAGAUAUCGGGAGGAACAUCAGUGGCGAAGGCGGCCUUCUGGUCCAGUACUGACACUCAAGUGCGAAAGCGUGGGGAGCAAACAGG
rnacentral:rRNA from 1 species